GACGAACGCUGGCGGCGUGCUUAACACAUGCGAGUCGAACGGAAAGGCCCUGCUUUUGUGGGGUGCUCGAGUGGCGAACGGGUGAGUAACACGUGAGUAACCUGCCCUUGACUUUGGGAUAACUUCAGGAAACUGGGGCUAAUACCGGAUAGGAGCUCCUGCUGCAUGGUGGGGGUUGGAAAGUUUCGGCGGUUGGGGAUGGACUCGCGGCUUAUCAGCUUGUUGGUGGGGUAGUGGCCUACCAAGGCUUUGACGGGUAGCUGGCCUGAGAGGGUGGACGGCCACACGGGAGCUGGGACACGGACCAGGCGCCUACGGGAGGCAGCAGUGGGGAAUAUGGGACAAUGGGCGCAAGCCUGAUCCAGCGAUCCCGCGUGUGUGAAGAAGGCCUUCGGGUUGUGAAGCCCGUUUGUUGGGAAAGAAAAGCAGCAGGUUAAUACCCCGCGGUUCUGACGGUACCCAAAGAAGAAGCACCGGCUAACUUCGUG
rnacentral:rRNA from 1 species